rnacentral:rRNA from 1 species
CGCCGCGGUUAUACGAGAGGCCCAAGUCAAUGAUUAGCGGCGUAAAGAGUGGUUAAAUAGAUCUGGUAUUAAAGUCGAAUCCCUUCUAGGCUGUUGUACGUUCACUGAGGGUGAGAAGCUCAACUACGAAAGUGGCUUUAUAUUCUUGAAUCCACGAAAGCUGAGGCA